rnacentral:rRNA from 1 species
AUUGAACGCUGGCGGCAUGCCUUACACAUGCAAGUCGAACGGCAGCGCGGACUUCGGUCUGGCGGCGAGUGGCGAGCGGGUGAGUAAUACAUCGGAACGUACCCUGUUGUGGGGGAUAACUAGUCGAAAGAUUAGCUAAUACCGCAUACGACCUGAGGGUGAAAGUGGGGGACCGCAAGGCCUCACGCAGCAGGAGCGGCCGAUGUCUGAUUAGCUAGUUGGUGGGGUAAAGGCCCACCAAGGCGACGAUCAGUAGCUGGUCUGAGAGGACGAUCAGCCACACUGGGACUGAGACACGGCCCAGACUCCUACGGGAGGCAGCAGUGGGGAAUUUUGGACAAUGGGGGCAACCCUGAUCCAGCAAUGCCGCGUGUGUGAAGAAGGCCUUCGGGUUGUAAAGCACUUUUGUCCGGAAAGAAAUCGCGCUGGUUAAUACCUGGCGUGGAUGACGGUACCGGAAGAAUAAGCACCGGCUAACUACGUG